AUACGUAGGGGACGAGCGUUGUCCGGAAUUACUGGGCGUAAAGGGCGCGCAGGCGGAUAUUUAAGUCAGCUGUAAAAGGCAUGAGCUCAACUCAUGUAUGCGGUUGAAACUGGGUAUCUAGAGUGCUGGAGAGGUAGGCGGAAUUCCCGGUGUAGCAGUGAAAUGCGUAGAUAUCGGGAAGAACACCAGUGGCGAAGGCGGCUUACUGGCCAGCAACUGACGCUGAGGCGCGAAAGCCAGGGGAGCGAACGGGAUUAGAUACCCCGGUAGUCCUGGCCGUAAACGAUGAAUGCUAGGUGUGGGUGUCGAGAGGCAUCUGUGCCGGAGUUAACGCGAUAAGCAUUCCGCCUGGGGAGUACGAUCGCAAGAUUGAAACUCAAAGGAAUUGACGGGG
rnacentral:rRNA from 1 species